AUGAACGCUAGCUACAGGCUUAACACAUGCAAGUCGAGGGGCAGCAUCAUCAAAGCUUGCUUUGAUGGAUGGCGACCGGCGCACGGGUGAGUAACACGUAUCCAACCUGCCGACAACACUGGGAUAGCCUUUCGAAAGAAAGAUUAAUACCGGAUGGCAUAAUUAUUCCGCAUGGGAUAAUUAUUAAAGAAUUUCGGUUGUCGAUGGGGAUGCGUUCCAUUAGGCAGUUGGCGGGGUAACGGCCCACCAAACCAACGAUGGAUAGGGGUUCUGAGAGGAAGGUCCCCCACAUUGGAACUGAGACACGGUCCAAACUCCUACGGGAGGCAGCAGUGAGGAAUAUUGGUCAAUGGACGAGAGUCUGAACCAGCCAAGUAGCGUGAAGGAUGACUGCCCUAUGGGUUGUAAACUUCUUUUAUACGGGAAUAAAGUGAGCCACGUGUGGCUUUUUGUAUGUACCGUAUGAAUAAGGAUCGGCUAACUCCGUGCCAGCAGCCGCGGUAAUACGGAGGAUCCGAGCGUUAUCCGGAUUUAUUGGGUUUAAAGGGAGCGUAGGCGGGUUGUUAAGUCAGUUGUGAAAGUUUGCGGCUCAACCGUAAAAUUGCAGUUGAUACUGGCGACCUUGAGUGCAACAGAGGUAGGCGGAAUUCGUGGUGUAGCGGUGAAAUGCUUAGAUAUCACGAAGAACUCCGAUUGCGAAGGCAGCUUACUGGAUUGUAACUGACGCUGAUGCUCGAAAGUGUGGGUAUCAAACAGGAUUAGAUACCCUGGUAGUCCACACAGUAAACGAUGAAUACUCGCUGUUAGCGAUAUACAUUCAGCGGCCAAGCGAAAGCAUUAAGUAUUCCACCUGGGGAGUACGCCGGCAACGGUGAAACUCAAAGGAAUUGACGGGGACCCGCACAAGCGGUGGAGCAUGUGGUUUAAUUCGAAGCAACGCGAAGAACCUUACCAGGUCUUGACAUCGAUCUAAAGGCUCCAGAGAUGGAGAGAUAGCUAUAGAGAAGACAGGUGGUGCAUGGUUGUCGUCAGCUCGUGUCGUGAGAUGUUGGGUUAAGUCCCGCAACGAGCGCAACCCUUGUGAUAUGUUACUAACAUUGAGUUGAGGACUCAUAUCAGACUGCCGGUGAUAAACCGGAGGAAGGUGGGGAUGACGUCAAAUCAUCAUGCCCUUUAUGACUUGGGCUACACACGUACUACAAUGGCGUUAAACAAAGAGAAGCAAGACCGCGAGGUGGAGCAAAACUCAGAAACAACGUCCCAGUUCGGACUGCAGGCUGCAACUCGCCUGCAUGAAGUCGGAAUUGCUAGUAAUCGCGGAUCAGCAUGCCGCGGUGAAUAUGUUCCCGGGCCUUGUACACACCGCCCGUCACACCAUGAGAGCCGGGGGGACCCGAAGUCGAUAGUCUAACCGCAAGGAGGACGUCGCCGAAGGUAAAACUGGUGAUUGGGGUG
rnacentral:rRNA from 1 species